UCCAGCUGGGUAGCCGGGGGAGCGCGCGUGGGGGCUCCGCGAGUCGCUCGCCCUUGGUUUCUGGGGAAGCCUGGGGGACGCGGCUGUGGCGGAGGCGCCCUGGGACUCAGGUCGCCUGGAGCGUGGCACGCAGAGCCCCAGGCGCGGAGCUGAGGCCGCGCGGCCGCGCUUGGCCCCAGCGGGCGUGGGACUGAGCAGUCUGCUGCCCCCCGACAUGUGACCCAGCCCCGCCGCCCAUGCGGGCUCCCGGCCGCCCGGCCCUGCGGCCGCUGCCGCUGCCGCCGCUGCUGCUGUUGCUCCUGGCGGCGCCUUGGGGACGGGCAGGGUAUUCCCGUCCUCUCCUGGGUCUUUGGGCUAAGGUCUAAGGACUGCUGGGAAGACCACCUUAGAAGAUGUAUGUAGUUACCUGGAUACUACCUGCUCGUAAUUGAAGGAUUAUCUACAAUGUCUUCUGUACAACGUGGGCUUACUAAGGUUCUAUGACUUUGCCACUCUCAGAAUUCCUUUUGAUGUAGAAACUCAGAGUUGACAGGACCUUAAAAGUCACCCCACCCAGCUGCCACUCUCUUGAUUGUCCUCUGCAGCAUCACUUCCAAGUAAUGACCUGUCUGCUGUGUGAGCACCUCUCAUCACAGGAUACUCACUACCCUGCACC
rnacentral:lncRNA from 1 species